GUCUCUCUGUGUGUGGCAGGCUCAGUAGGUUAGAGCAGGUGCUGACAACGCCAAGGUUGCAGGUUCGAUCCCCGUAUGGGACA